rnacentral:rRNA from 1 species
AUUGAACGCUGGCGGCAUGCUUUACACAUGCAAGUCGAACGGCAGCGCGGGCUUCGGCCUGGCGGCGAGUGGCGAACGGGUGAGUAAUACAUCGGAACGUGCCCAGUAGUGGGGGAUAGCUCGGCGAAAGCCGGAUUAAUACCACAUACGACCUGAGGGUGAAAGCGGGGGAUCUUCGGACCUCGCGCUAUUGGAGCGGCCGAUGGCAGAUUAGCUAGUUGGUGGGGUAAAGGCCUACCAAGGCGACGAUCUGUAGCUGGUCUGAGAGGACGACCAGCCACACUGGAACUGAGACACGGCCCAGACUCCUACGGGAGGCAGCAGUGGGGAAUUUUGGACAAUGGGCGAAAGCCUGAUCCAGCAAUGCCGCGUGUGUGAUGAAGGCCUUCGGGUUGUAAAGCACUUUUGGCGGGAACGAAAAGGACUGUGCCAAUACCACGGUUCGAUGACGGUACCCGCAGAAUAAGCACCGGCUAACUACGUG